CUCUGCUUAACCCUCCUGUGCCGGGCUCACGAACAGGAUGCAGCCACCUUGGGCAUGGUGGAACCUUGGGCACGGACUGCUAGAAAACGGAACUGACCAGGAGACGCCUGCCACACACGGCCUUUGUCUUUCUGAGAGAACUGAUGGGAGGCCGCACAAGCUACUCAGGAAGCUGAGGAUGGAACCCGGGACCCUUCCCUUCGUGGGCUGGGCAAGUUCCUUCCUCAGCUUCUGGGAUUUUCUCCAGACAGUGAAGCCCCAGGUGAAGAGAGAACUCGCUGGGGCUCCCUGCACCUCCCUGAGAUUUAUGGUGCGUCUGUGAUGAAAGGCCACCCCGGCCGGGCACCUCACCUGUGUGGGUGUUCACAUGGUUCCUAAGAAGAGUGACGGUCCGGAAGGCCUUCAGGCACAGGUGACACAGGUGUGGCCUCUCAUUGCUGUGAAUUUUGAUGUGACGAUUGAAAGUUGAGAGCUUGGAGGAAGUGAACGGGCAGGUGUCACACUGAAAGCUCUGAGGCUUUCCUGUAGAGAGAAGACACACACCAGUGUAGCUGGAAAGAUCGUCCCUUGAGCAGCCCCUGAUGUGACUUCCUUAGCCUAGGGCUGUUGAGGAUUAUGAGAUGUCUCAAAACCUCAGGACACUCUGUUUUUGAUGAAGAACAUCUUGUUAAGAAGUACCCAGCUUCUGUUUCCUGCCACAGGGCUGUCCAGGUCCCUAACCCACCCUCCCUGUUGUUAACAAUAGACAACAGUGUGGCCCCUGAACACCGGUAACUGCAGUUCCAGGGGGUCUGAUGCCCUCUUCUGGCCACUAUGGGAACUGCACACAGGUUGUGCACAGAAAUACAUACAUUCUUUUGUUUGUUUGUUUUUGUUUUUUGANACAGCCAAAGCUACAGAGAGAAAUUCUGUCUUGAAAAUCAAGAAACAAACAAACAAACCAAUCAAUCAGUCUUAAUAAACUGUCAUUUACAGUGUGGUAUAGAUCAAGGAGGUCAGAAGACAAAGUCCUCUCCAAGCAGGGAGUCCCAGAAGCAAGUCUCCCAUAAACAUGGACCCAAGUGGGUACCCAAGUUCUCUGUUGUUGUUAAAAUGAAGACCCCCCCAGCCCCCAAUGCCUUCCCAGAAUCCUCCGCCCAAGCCAGGAGAGCUCUGGGAAACUGGCAUGAAGCUGAACAAAGCCACAGCCCACAGCCACAAGUGACUAUUUAAAUUUGUAUC
ensembl:antisense Ctcflos CCCTC-binding factor (zinc finger protein)-like, opposite strand